rnacentral:rRNA from 1 species
AUUGAACGCUGGCGGCAUGCCUUACACAUGCAAGUCGAACGGCAGCACGGGAGCAAUCCUGGUGGCGAGUGGCGAACGGGUGAGUAAUACAUCGGAACGUGCCCAGUUGUGGGGGAUGGCCCGGCGAAAGCCGGAUUAAUACCGCAUACGACCUACGGGUGAAAGCGGGGGAUCGCAAGACCUCGCGCUAUUGGAGCGGC